CUAUUUUAGUUGAUGGAACAAAUAUGUGCCGGCAAUAGUGUGUCAAAAAUGUUGCUCAAUCUUAAAGGGAUUGUUCACCCAAUAAUGAAAAU